GAAGAGGAAGAGAGACUGAGAGACCAUGGUGGCCGUGAAGAAAACGAAGAAGACCCAUGAGUCUAUCAACAACAGGCUCGCUCUGGUGAUGAAGAGUGGCAAGUACUCUCUGGGUUACAAGACCGUCAUCGACACUCUCCGUAGCUCCAAAGGGAAGCUCAUUAUCAUCUCCAACAAUUGCCCUCCUCUGAGGAAGUCCGAGAUUACUACGCCAUGCUUGCCAAGGUUGGAGUUCAUCACUACAAUGGAAACAAUGUCGACCUGGGUACAGCAUGUGGCAAAUAUUUCAGUGUCGUGCCUUAGCAUUAUUGAUCCAGGUGAUUCGGAUAUUAUCAAGACACUGCCUGGUGAUCAGUGAUGGACUGUUGGACACUACCUCCGUUAUCCAAGUUUUAUGUUUUAGGCUUGUUUGUGAUCUGUCACCAAUUAUGUAAUGCACCACUUUUGUUUGAAGAUAUUGUCGGCAGUUCUGUUAGUGGUGACUAGUUUGUUUUAAGUU